GAUAGGUCAGAGGUGGAAGCAUGGUGACAUGUGGAGCUGACUGAUACUAAUCGAUCGAGGACUUAACCACAGUU
rnacentral:rRNA from 2 species